AGCUCUGAAGGCAUGUUUAGAAUAUCAGGAAAAUGCUUCUCCAGGAUCAUGAUCAGGUUUCCCAAAGGAUCCAAAAAACUGAGAGGGAAGAGAUUUGGGGAAGAUGUCACUUUUCCUCAUCUGACUUUGCCUUGGAGUCAGAUGGGAGAAUGACUCCUGGAGAACACUUAGCCUUUUCCAGCUUUCCCCAAGAAAGGCUGGCCCAGGGAGGCUUCUAUAAACCUUCUCCCUAACUCUUCCAGCCUGAUUUCUCCUUGACCCAAGAAUCGCAGCCUCCUGGGGGCUGUUGGGAAGGGGCGUGGCUGCCCGCUGGGUUCAGUUCCCCUUCCUUCCCACGAGGGUCCUCACCUGCUCCAGCAUGUCCUUAGCAAGGUCCUCCUGCUCAUCCAUCUUCAAGAUGGCCUGCCGGAUCUCCUCGUUAGAAAGCUUCAACCUAAGGCAAAACCCCACCUCAAUCCAGGACAGCCCUCAAACCUUCUUCUCCAAAAGGUACCACCUCCGCCUUCCCUCAUUCCCUAACAGGACUUGGGAAUAUAUUUAAU
ensembl:lncRNA DAAM2-AS1 DAAM2 antisense RNA 1